GCCUGGUGCAGUGGUGCACGCCUGUAAUCCCAGCUGCUCUGGAGGCUGAGGCAGGAGGAUUAUAAGUUUGAGGCCAUCCUGUGCAAUUUAGUGAGAUCCUGUCUCAA
rnacentral:sRNA from 1 species